rnacentral:rRNA from 1 species
CGGUGAAUACGUUCCCGGACCUUGUACACACCGUCCCGUCAAGCCAUGGGAGCCGGGUGUACCUAAAGACGAUAACCGCAAGGAGUCGUCCAAGGUAAAAUCGGUGACUGGGGCU